rnacentral:rRNA from 1 species
GAAUUCGCCCUUAGAGUUUGAUCCUGGCUCAGGACGAACGCUGGCGGCGUGCCUAACACAUGCAAGUCGAACGGAACCAUUGAUUUCGGUUGAUGGUUUAGUGGCGAACGGGUGAGUAACGCGUGAGCAACCUGACCCUUUGAGGGGGAUAACACCUGGAAACAAGUGCUAAUACCGCAUAAGACCACGGAGCGGCAUCGCUCAGGGGUCAAAGGAGGAAUCCGCAGAGGGAGGGGCUCGCGUCCCAUUAGAUAGUAGGCGGGGUAACGGCCCACCUAGUCGACGAUGGGUAGCCGAGCUGAGAGGCUGAUCGGCCACACUGGAACUGAGACACGGUCCAGACUCCUACGGGAGGCAGCAGUGGGGAAUAUUGGGCAAUGGGCGCAAGCCUGACCCAGCAACGCCGCGUGAGGGAAGAAGGCUUUCGGGUUGUAAACCUCUGUCCUUGGUGACGAAGGAAGUGACGGUAGCCAAGGAGGAAGCCCCGGCUAACUACGUGCCAGCAGCCGCGGUAAUACGUAGGGGGCGAGCGUUGUCCGGAAUUACUGGGCGUAAAGGGUGCGUAGGCGGCGGAUUAAGUUGGAUGUGAAAUACCCGGGCUUAACUUGGGGGCUGCAUCCAAUACUGGUCUGCUAGAGUGCAGGAGAGGGAAGCGGAAUUCCUAGUGUAGCGGUGAAAUGCAUAGAUAUUAGGAGGAACACCAGUGGCGAAGGCGGCUUUCUGGACUGUAACUGACGCUGAGGCACGAAAGCGUGGGGAGCAAACAGGAUUAGAUACCCUGGUAGUCCACGCUGUAAACGAUGAAUACCAGGUGUAGGGGGGUAUCAACUC